rnacentral:rRNA from 1 species
AAAUUGAAGAGUUUGAUCAUGGCUCAGAUUGAACGCUGGCGGCAGGCCUAACACAUGCAAGUCGAGCGGAAACGAGUUAUCUGAACCUUCGGGGAACGAUAACGGCGUCGAGCGGCGGACGGGUGAGUAAUGCCUAGGAAAUUGCCCUGAUGUGGGGGAUAACCAUUGGAAACGAUGGCUAAUACCGCAUGAUGCCUACGGGCCAAAGAGGGGGACCUUCGGGCCUCUCGCGUCAGGAUAUGCCUAGGUGGGAUUAGCUAGUUGGUGAGGUAAGGGCUCACCAAGGCGACGAUCCCUAGCUGGUCUGAGAGGAUGAUCAGCCACACUGGAACUGAGACACGGUCCAGACUCCUACGGGAGGCAGCAGUGGGGAAUAUUGCACAAUGGGCGCAAGCCUGAUGCAGCCAUGCCGCGUGUGUGAAGAAGGCCUCGGUUGUAAAGCACUUUCAGUCGUGAGGAAGGUAGUGUAGUUAAUAGCUGCAUUAUUUGACGUUAGCGACAGAAGAAGCACCGGCUAACUCCGUGCCAGCAGCCGCGGUAAUACGGAGGGUGCGAGCGUUAAUCGGAAUUACUGGGCGUAAAGCGCAUGCAGGUGGUUUGUUAAGUCAGAUGUGAAAGCCCGGGGCUCAACCUCGGAAUUGCAUUUGAAACUGGCAGACUAGAGUACUGUAAAGGGGGUAGAAUUUCAGGUGUAGCGGUGAAAUGCGUAGAGAUCUGAAGGAAUACCGGUGGCGAAGGCGGCCCCCUGGACAGAUACUGACACUCAGAUGCGAAAGCGUGGGGAGCAAACAGGAUUAGAUACCCUGGUAGUCCACGCCGUAAACGAUGUCUACUUGGAGGUUGUGGCCUUGAGCCGUGGCUUUCGGAGCUAACGCGUUAAGUAGACCGCCUGGGGAGUACGGUCGCAAGAUUAAAACUCAAAUGAAUUGACGGGGGCCCGCACAAGCGGUGGAGCAUGUGGUUUAAUUCGAUGCAACGCGAAGAACCUUACCUACUCUUGACAUCCAGAGAACUUUCCAGAGAUGGAUUGGUGCCUUCGGGAACUCUGUGACAGGUGCUGCAUGGCUGUCGUCAGCUCGUGUUGUGAAAUGUUGGGUUAAGUCCCGCAACGAGCGCAACCCUUAUCCUUGUUUGCCAGCGAGUAAUGUCGGGAACUCCAGGGAGACUGCCGGUGAUAAACCGGAGGAAGGUGGGGACGACGUCAAGUCAUCAUGGCCCUUACGAGUAGGGCUACACACGUGCUACAAUGGCGCAUACAGAGGGCGGCCAACUUGCGAAAGUGAGCGAAUCCCAAAAAGUGCGUCGUAGUCCGGAUUGGAGUCUGCAACUCGACUCCAUGAAGUCGGAAUCGCUAGUAAUCGUGGAUCAGAAUGCCACGGUGAAUACGUUCCCGGGCCUUGUACACACCGCCCGUCACACCAUGGGAGUGGGCUGCAAAAGAAGUAGGUAGUUUAACCUUCGGGGGGACGCUUACCACUUUGUGGUUCAUGACUGGGGUGAAGUCGUAACAAGGUAGCGCUAGGGGAACCUGGCGCUGGAUCACCUCCUUAAACGAUGAU